rnacentral:rRNA from 1 species
ACAUGCCUACAACAUAGCGUUAAUGCACCGGAUCCCAUUAGAAAUCUGUAGUUAAGCGUGCUCAGGCUAGAGUAGUACUGGGAUGGGUGACUGCCCAGGAAUUUCUAGUGUUUUACAUGCC